rnacentral:rRNA from 1 species
AUGAAGACCUGUAUGAAAGGCAUCACGAGAGUUUAACUGUCUCUAUUUUCUAAUCAAUGAAAUUGAUCUAUUCGUGCAGAAGCGAAUAUAAUAACAUUAGACGAGAAGACCCUAUGGAGCUUCAAACACUUAAAUUAAUUAUGUAAUUAUAUACUUCCCAGGAUAUAAACAAAAUAUACAAUACUUCUAAUUUAACUGUU